GGUGAACGCUGGCGGCGUGUUUAAGGCAUGCAAGUCGAACGAACGCAGUUUGUGAUUACAUCAAUGACUGCGCUAGUGGCAAACGGGUGAGUAACACAUUGGUAACCUACCCCAAAGACGGGAAUAACGCGAAGAAAUUUGCGCUAAUACCCGAUAAUUUCCGGCGAUUAAUUCGCCAGAAAAAAGCUCCGGCGCUUUGGGAAGGGCCUAGGCUUCAUCAGCUAGUUGGUAGGGUAACGGCCUACACAGGCCACGACGAAUAGCGGGCGCGAGAGCGUGACCCGCCUCACUGGGACUGAGACCCGGCCCAAACUCCUACGGGAGGCUGCAGUAGGGAAUCUUCCACAAUGGGCGAAAGCCUGAUGGAGCAACGCCGCGUGUGUGAUGAAGGCUUUCGGGUCGUAAAGCACUGUUGUAUGGGAAGAACAGCUAGAAUAGGGAAUGAUUUUAGUUUGACGGUACCAUACCAGAAAGGGACGGCUAAAUACGUGCCAGCAGCCGCAGUAA
rnacentral:rRNA from 1 species